rnacentral:misc_RNA from 1 species
GAUGAAGAACGUAGCGAAAUGCGAUAAGUAAUGUGAAUUGCAGAAUUCAGUGAAUCAUCGAAUCUUUGAACGCACAUUGCGCCCCUUGGUAUUCCGGGGGGCAUGCCUGUUCGAGCGUCAUUAUAACCCCUCAAGCUCAGCUUGGUGUUGGGGCCUGCCAACUGGCAGCCCUUAAAAUCAGUGGCGGCGCCAUCUGGCUCUAAGCGUAGUAAUUUCUCUCGCUAUAGGGUCCCGGUGGAUGCUGGCCAACAACCCCCAAUUUUCUAUGGUUGACCUCGGAUCAGGUAGGGAUACCCGCUGAACUUAAGCAUAUCAAUAGCGGAGGA